rnacentral:rRNA from 1 species
UACGUAGGGCGCAAGCGUUGUCCGGAAUCAUUGGGCGUAAAGAGCUCGUAGGCGGUCUGUUACGUCUGCUGUGAAAUCCUAGGGCUUAACCCUGGGCCUGCAGUGGAUACGGGCAGACUAGAGGUAGGUAGGGGAGAAUGGAAUUCCCGGUGUAGCGGUGAAAUGCGCAGAUAUCGGGAGGAACACCGGUGGCGAAGGCGGUUCUCUGGGCCGUAACUGACGCUGAGGAGCGAAAGCGUGGGGAGCGAACAGG